rnacentral:rRNA from 1 species
GCCUUUCGAAAGGAAGAUUAAUACCGCAUAAGAUUGUAGUAUCGCAUGAUAUAGCAAUUAAAGGAGCAAUUCGCUAUAAGAUGGACCCGCGUCGCAUUAGCUAGUUGGUGAGGUAAUGGCUCACCAAGGCGACGAUGCGUAGCCGACCUGAGAGGGUGAACGGCCACAUUGGGACUGAGACACGGCCCAGACUCCUACGGGAGGCAGCAUG